UACGAAGGGGGCUAGCGUUGCUCGGAAUUACUGGGCGUAAAGGGAGCGUAGGCGGACAGUUUAGUCAGAGGUGAAAGCCCAGGGCUCAACCUUGGAAUUGCCUUUGAUACUGAUUGUCUUGAGUUUGGGAGAGGUGUGUGGAACUCCGAGUGUAGAGGUGAAAUUCGUAGAUAUUCGGAAGAACACCAGUGGCGAAGGCGACACACUGGCCCAAUACUGACGCUGAGGCUCGAAAGCGUGGGAGCAAACAGGAUUAGAUACCCGAGUAGU
rnacentral:rRNA from 1 species